GAACUCGCACUAAGCACACUGGAAUAUAUCCUCGAUAUACGAACGAGCAGUCUCCGACCAGCGAAUACAAUGCAAGGUCGUGUCCGUACACGGUUGCGUUUUAAACUUUUUACUUCGCCUUAAACGUGUUUUUGCAAAGGAUUUUUUGUCCGUUUUGGAUCUGUUUGAAAUUCGAGGACCCGGUUCUGUUUUUUUUUUUAGGAUGCUAGAGACACUAGAGGCUCUAUCGAGCAUGGACGUGUGAAGGACCUCACGACCAAGUGAUGAUCGGAGCCUAAGAGACUAUUCCAGCUACGCCCGGACGCAUAGGUGAGCUCACGGACUCAUCCUGAGAGACAUCCGCAGAAUCUACAACCGGAUCGGAAUCGCGACCCACUGAGAAGAUCCGACGAGAAACUCACUAGGCUGGGUUGUUUGGUCUCACAAUACGCCUUUUUUUUAACGCUGGGGAAUCCAUUUACGGAUACCCAGUCGAGGUAACAGACCGGGUUAUGUCCGGCGCUUCGUAAGAUGAAGAAGGGGAGAAGAGAAGGACCGAGGUCCUCGACCUCUCCCAAUUUCCCACAGGAGACUACGCCUUGAAAAAUGCGCGCGAGGCACUUGCCCCGCAGAACCGACUACCGACUAAACCCCAUCGAGCUUCACCACACCGACUACAUGAAACUUACGGUACCGCAGUGCGCGCCGAAACUCACAAUACGCCCUAACAUUAGUAAAUAAACAAACUGUGUUUUCUUUUUUUUAGCUUCGUUUUUUAUUAAACCAUAAAUAAAUAUUAGCAAAAAACAAACGUGUGGCACUCGGGAACUGCCGCGGUAAAGCUAUUGCAUAGCAUUUUUUAUCAACUUAUGCAAUUAUAAUUAGACAACAAUAAUUUAAUAUUAAAACAAUAAUGAAACAAGACCACGCUAUAUUAAACAUUAAUAAAAGCAAAA